rnacentral:tRNA from 1 species
GGGGGCGUAGCUCAGCUGGGAGAGCACCUGCCUUGCAAGCAGGGGGUCAAGAGUUCGAAUCUCUCCGUCUCCAUCA